UACGGGGGGGGCAAGCGUUGUUCGGAAUUACUGGGCGUAAAGGGCUCGUAGGUGGCCAACUAAGUCAGACGUGAAAUCCCUCGGCUUAACCGGGGAACGGCGUCUGAUACUGGAUGGCUUGAGUUCGGGAGAGGGAUGCGGAAUUCCAGGUGUAGCGGUGAAAUGCGUAGAUAUCUGGAGGAACACCGGUGGCGAAGGCGGCAUCCUGGACCGAGACUGACACUGAGGAGCGAAAGCCAGGGGAGCAAACAGG
rnacentral:rRNA from 1 species